AUUGAACGCUGGCGGCAGGCCUAACACAUGCAAGUCGAGCGGCAGCGGGAAAGUAGCUUGCUACUUUUGCCGGCGAGCGGCGGACGGGUGAGUAAUGCCUGGGGAUCUGCCCAGUCGAGGGGGAUAACUACUGGAAACGGUAGCUAAUACCGCAUACGCCCUACGGGGGAAAGCAGGGGACCUUCGGGCCUUGCGCGAUUGGAUGAACCCAGGUGGGAUUAGCUAGUUGGUGAGGUAAUGGCUCACCAAGGCGACGAUCCCUAGCUGGUCUGAGGGGAUGAUCAGCCACACUGGAACUGAGACACGGCCCAGACUCCUACGGGAGGCAGCAGUGGGGAAUAUUGCACAAUGGGGGAAACCCGGAUGCAGCCAUGCCGCGUGUGUGAAGAAGGCCUUCGGGUUGUAAAGCACUUUCAGCGAGGAGGAAAGGUUGGAAGCUAAUAACUGCCAGCUGUGACGUUACUCGCAGAAGAAGCACCGGCUAACUCCGUGCCAGCCGCCGCAGUAAGAC
rnacentral:rRNA from 1 species